rnacentral:rRNA from 1 species
AUUGAACGCUGGCGGCAGGCCUAACACAUGCAAGUCGAACGAGUGGCGUACGGGUGAGUAAUGUCUGGGCAUCUUCCUGAUGGAGGGGGAUAACUACUGGACACUGUAGCUAAUACCGCAUACCAUCAGAUGUGCCCAGAUGGGAUUAGCUAGUUGGUGGGGUAACGGCUCACCAAGGCGACGAUCCCUAGCUGGUCUGAGAGGAUGACCAGUCACACUGGAACUGAGACACGGUCCAGACUCCUACGGGAGGCAGCAGUGGGGAAUAUUGCACAAUGGGCGAAAGCCUGAUGCAGCCAUGCCGCGUGUAUGAAGAAGGCCUUCGGGUUGUAAAGUACUUUCAGCGGGGAGGCGUUACCAGCAGAAGAAGCACCGGCUAACUCCGUGCCAGCAGCCGCGGUAAUUC